AACAUUAUCAAGGGCACAGCAAUGGUAUGUUUCUAAUAUUCUUGCUAUUUGGCCCAAUAAAAUAGUGAUUAUUCAUUUCAGCCCUUCAACUUCUUAAAUUUGUGUCAUUGAAUAAUUAAAAAUUUCAAGAGUUUACUAAAAAAUAGAUUUACCUGAGAAAUUGCAUUCCGAUUUCCGAUUUCCGAUUAGACAUAAAGUUGGAUGCAGAGGUUUCACAUGUGAUGCCAUGAAUGAUGUUUGUUGUUGAUGUGGACGGUCUUGUAAGAACGCUAGCGGAAGCUUCAAUAAUUGAUGACAAAAUACAAAUGUAGAAAGCUUAGUGUUUGAAAAGUUCAACGAAGGAAAAUAAUUUCUUACGUCAUGUAUUUAUUGCUUGAAAGGAACUUGCAUGGUGAGGAAUUGUCAACCAAAAUUACAGUACCCUUUGGACAGAAAUAAAACCCACUUAUCAAUCAACUCCUACCACAAAUCCAUCCUUCAAUAGAAUGAAGACACCACUCAGUGUGGUGGACUAGUGGAAGGAGUAAUUAUAUUGUUGCAGCUGUCAUUUUAUGUAGAAUAAUUU
rnacentral:misc_RNA from 1 species